GAAUGAAGAGGGGACUUAGCUGGUACCCCUUUCAUCUUGUUGCUGCAGCACUGAACACUACACCCUUUUCCUCAGCAGCAUGCAGAUGAGGACCCAACAUCCAUACUUUCUGUGAACCUGUUGUGAUAGCCGUGAGGAUAACCAGGGUUGAGAACCAGCUGUUGGCUUGGCCAGCUCUUUCCAGUUUGGCUUCCUGACAACCUUCUGCUGUCAAGACGCCUGCAUUUACUUGCAUUGUGUCUGAUUUUCAGCAGAUCCCUAUCUGAGGCCUAUUCCUCCCGUCUGUUACCCAGCUGGGAUCUGUCCUGGUGUGGUUGGUACCACAGACUCAGAAGAUAAUGAAGUUCCCUGCACCAAAGGUCAGAGAUGGUCAGAGAUCCUGAAUGUCCAGCAGUUUACAACACAUGGGGAUGACACCACCAGUGCCCACAGCUGUGUUUAUAGACAUAAAAUUAGUUUGUGUAAACACAUCAUCA